rnacentral:rRNA from 1 species
UACGGGAGGCAGCAGUAGGGAAUCUUCGGCAAUGGACGAAAGUCUGACCGAGCAACGCCGCGUGAGUGAAGAAGGUUUUCGGAUCGUAAAACUCUGUUGGUAGAGAAGAACGUUGGUGAGAGUGGAAAGCUCAUCAAGUGACGGUAACUACCCAGAAAGGGACGGCUAACUACGUGCCAGCAGCCGCGGUAAUACGUAGGUCCCGAGCGUUGUCCGGAUUUAUUGGGCGUAAAGCGAGCGCAGGUGGUUUAUUAAGUCUGGUGUAAAAGGCAGUGGCUCAACCAUUGUAUGCAUUGGAAACUGGUAGACUUGAGUGCAGGAGAGGAGAGUGGAAUUCCAUGUGUAGCGGUGAAAUGCGUAGAUAUAUGGAGGAACACCGGUGGCGAAAGCGGCUCUCUGGCCUGUAACUGACACUGAGGCUCGAAAGCGUGGGGAGCAAACAGGAUUAGAUACCCUGGUAGUCCACGCCGUAAACGAUGAGUGCUAGAUGUAGGGAGCUAUAAGUUCUCUGUAUCGCAGCUAACGCAAUAAGCACUCCGCCUGGGGAGUACGACCGCAAGGUUGAAACUCAAAUGAAUUGACGGAAGGGC